GUGAUGCAAGUGUUUCCGCGCCAGUUAAAAAUACGGGCAAUGUGUACGCGACGCAAAAUCUAAUUAUUUCUUUGCAAAACCUAAUUAGGCAUUAAAAAAAGGUUAACGCCAGCGCCUGAAACCGUCCUUGUUUAAUAAUCCCAUUACUGACGGCUCAUCAUGUAUAAAAUGGCGCAGAAGGACACAAAGUUUCCACUUGUUAAAGUGAAUCUGCCAGAAAAAAGGCGAGACAAACAGUACUGUAAGCCCUACUGUAGGACGUAUGACAGCAUAGGAGACGGAAUAAGAUGAAGACGCCAGUUUGACAGGCGCAUUGAGGCCUGUCUCUGCGCCUGAAGCUCUCCCCCCACAAACACAGAGCCGGAUGAUUGAUGAGGGAAAGGGGCAAGGCCGAGCAUGCACACUAUAAACCUCCAUACACACGGCGGCCUCAAUGGAGGCGGGCCUGCGCGCGCAGUCACCGGCACCGGCCGCGCGCUCAAUAGACGCCGGCGCGAGCAGAGUGAAGGCAAGCGGCACAGAGGAAAGGUGCUCUGUUGUGCUCUAAUCCAGUUAGCUACUGAGCCACCAGCGCGACGAAGGCACGGAGCAAAGAGGCAGAGAGAUGGGUGAAGGAGACAGGAAGGGUGAACGACUGGGGGGAUUGAGGGAGAAUUGCAGCUUUAGUCCCUGCUGAGAGAGACAAGAGGAGAGAGAAAUAGUUAAAGGAAGCGAGGGAGUCUUUGCUUUCCUGGGAAGACCUGAAGCUUGAAGAAAACAGCCAGCGCGUCGAAUUUAAAUCUAAUUUUUGGGCUUGAAAUAGCUACUAUAAUAGGAACCUAGGCCUUGUAAACGGAACCAAUACUUGAAUCACGUAUAAUUUCUGUAAAGAGCCAAAAAAAUAUGCGAGAAUAGAUGAUAAAUAUAAUGGUUCCAUUUUAGUUUCGGGUUCCAGUUGCUAUAACACACAAACUGAUGCCAACAUAAUAACAAAACAUAUGCCUAUGCAUAAAUUCAGAAAUAAUCUGACACCAGUUUUAUGCAGAGGAUGCCUUUCUAGGCUUUGUUAUUCUUUAAACGGCUUAUUCAUAAAUGCUAGUCAUGCAUAGCCUUCAGCUGAAAAUUAGAGGGAAGGAAAAAAAUGAAUCGGCGCAUGUAGAGAGAUUAAAAUAGAGGACAACCAAAAUGCUGAGGAGACGCAAUAGUCUAACGUUUCUUGCGUAUACAUUUUUUGCAACUCUUGCCAGGUAUAUUAUCUCUGGGGAGCUUACACCACUUCUUUUCAGUAAAAUUAGUGUCAGAGGGAAGGGAAGUGAGAAUGAAUGGGCAGCCAUGGAGGCUUAUAGUAAGUGCCCUUUGCACGUGCCCUCUCCAGGCCAUAAUCUCUGCACUUCUGCCUCUGCACCUCACGCGGUCUGUUCAAAAGCACAAUUAGCAGGCCCUCAUCUCCCGCCAGGGCCGCCUUUCAUAUAGCCAAGCACUGCGACAAGGUAUCCUGCAGCACAACGCUUUUUUUCUGCCUGGGGUGAUGGAGAGAGAGAGAGAGAGAGAGAGAGAGAGAGAUGGCAGUAAGUUUGCCUUUUGUGAUUCACUCAGCAAGGUCAUUUUUUUCCUUGGCUUACUCCCUCUUUUUCUGAAAAUAGAGUCAAAGUUUUUGUUUUUUUUUUACUUUAUUUACACAAUGGGAAACAAAAGUUUUACUACUUUAUUUUCUAGUUAGCAUUUUGUAUCAAUUUAGCUAUGUGUGGCUACAUAUAUAGUGUCUAUAUUUCAUUCCAUUGCAACUAAAGGUAAUAAGCAAAUGCUGUUUUCUUAUUGAUUUUUUAAUUAUUAAAAUGUUGAUGCUUGUUACUGACUUUCAAUACUAUACCAACUGAAAAUAAAGGACAUUAUACUGUAUUGCCUUUCAUAAAAGUGUGUUUUAUUAAACAACCACAAUAAAGA